UACGGAGGGUGCAAGCGUUAUCCGGAUUCACUGGGUUUAAAGGGUGCGUAGGCGGGCAGGUAAGUCCGUGGUGAAAUCUCUGAGCUUAACUCAGAAACUGCCAUGGAUACUAUUUGUCUUGAAUAUUGUGGAGGCAAGCGGAAUAUGUCAUGUAGCGGUGAAAUGCUUAGAUAUGACAUAGAACACCCAUUGCGAAGGCAGCUUGCUACACAAUGAUUGACGCUGAGGCACGAAAGUGUGGGGAUCAAACAGG
rnacentral:rRNA from 1 species